rnacentral:rRNA from 1 species
CACGUAGGGCGCAAGCGUUGUCCGGAAUUAUUGGGCGUAAAGAGCGCGCAGGCGGUCGUUCAAGUCGAGUGUGAAAGCCCCGGGCUCAACCUGGGAAUUGCAUUCGAGACUGCAUUGCUGGAGUACGGAAGAGGAAGGCGGAAAUUCCCGGUGUAGCGGUGGAAAUGCGUAGAUAUCGGGAGGAACAUCAGUGGCGAAAGGCGGCCUUCUGGUCCAGUACUGGACACUCAAGUGCGAAAGCGUGGGGAGCAAACAGGG